rnacentral:rRNA from 1 species
UGGGGAAUAUUGCACAAUGGGCGCAAGCCUGAUGCAGCCAUGCCGCGUGUAUGAAGAAGGCCUUCGGGUUGUAAAGUACUUUCAGCGGGGAGGAAGGGAGUAAAGUUAAUACCUUUGCUCAUUGACGUUACCCGCAGAAGAAGCACCGGCUAACUCCGUGCCAGCAGCCGCGGUAAUACGGAGGGUGCAAGCGUUAAUCGGAAUUACUGGGCGUAAAGCGCACGCAGGCGGUUGAUUGAGUCUGAUGUGAAAUCCCCGGGCUUAACCCGGGAAUUGCAUCUGAUACUGGUCAGCUAGAGUCUUGUAGAGGGGGGUAGAAUUCCAUGUGUAGCGGUGAAAUGCGUAGAGAUGUGGAGGAAUACCGGUGGCGAAGGCGGCCCCCUGGACAAAGACUGACGCUCAGGUGCGAAAGCGUGGGGAGCAAACAGG